rnacentral:tRNA from 1 species
UGAACAAGCGGGCCUCGAUCCCGCGACCAAUUAAUUAACAGCUAAUUGCCUAAACCAGCGGGCUUUAGUUCGC